CAUGAGUGGCGGACGGGUGAGUAACGCGUGGGCAACCUGGCCUGUACAGGGGGAUAACACUUAGAAAUAGGUGCUAAUACCGCAUAACGGGGGAAGCCGCAUGGCUUUUCCCUGAAAACUCCGGUGGUACAGGGUGGGCCCGCGUCUGAUUAGCCAGUUGGCAGGGUAACGGCCUACCAAAGCGACGAUCAGUAGCCGGCCUGAGAGGGCGGACGGCCACACUGGGACUGAGACACGGCCCAGACUCCUACGGGAGGCAGCAG
rnacentral:rRNA from 1 species